AUUUAAACUUCUGCACCUAAAUUUAUAUCUUAAUCCAACAUCGAGGUCGCAAUCAAUUUUAUCAAUAUGAACUCUCCAAAAUUAUUACGCUGUUAUCCCUAAAGUAACUUAUUCUUUUAAUCAUUAUUAAUGGAUCAUUUAAAUCAUAAAUUUAUGUAAAUUUUAUUUAAAAGUUCUUUAAAUUUUAAUAUCACCCCAAUAAAAUAUAUUAUUUAAUAACCUAUAAUUUAAUAAAUAAAAAUAAAUUAUUAAAAUUAAUAUAAAGAUUUAUAGGGUCUUCUCGUCUUUUAAUAAAAUUUUAGCUUUUUUACUAAAAAAUAAAUUUCAAAUAUAAUAUUUAAAUGAAACAGUUAAUGUUUCGUCCAACCAUUCAUACCAGCUUUCAAUUAAAAAACUAAUGAUUAUGCUACCUUUGCACAGUCAGUAUACUGCGGCCAUUAAAUAAAUCAGUGGGCAGGAUAGACUUUAAAAUAAACUCAAAAAGACAUGUUUUU
rnacentral:rRNA from 1 species